UCACACAGAAAUCGCACGCAU
rnacentral:miRNA from 1 species